AGAGCGAACGCUGGCGGCAGGCCUAACACAUGCAAGUCGAGCGCCCCGCAAGGGGAGCGGCAGACGGGAGAGUAACACGUGGGAACGUACCCUUCAGUUCGGAACAACCCAGGGAAACUUGGGCUAAUACCGAAUACGUCCGUAAGGAGAAAGAUUUAUCGCUGAAGGAUCGGCCCGCGUCUGAUUAGCUAGUUGGUGGGGUAAUGGCCCACCAAGGCGACGAUCAGUAGCUGGUCUGAGAGGAUGAUCAGCCUCAUUGGGACUGAGACACGGCCCAAACUCCUACGGGAGGCAGCAGUGGGGAAUAUUGGACAAUGGGCGAAAGCCUGAUCCAGCAAUGCCGCGUGAGUGAUGAAGGCCUUAGGGUUGUAAAGCUCUUUUACCGGGAUGAUAAUGACAGUACCGGAGAAUAAGCUCGGCUAACUCCGUGCCAGCAGCCGC
rnacentral:rRNA from 1 species